UGGCUUGCGCAAGAGCAGGCUUUAUCGCACAUUCAGAUCACACCACUUGAGCCAGAGUUUAGUACUGGAGAGCUGACUGAAUUAAAACUCUCCUAAUAAGCCACAGAGAAGUAACUAAUGUCAUGAUAAACAAUCUCUGCAGCUCUUGCUGGAACCAUCAGCACUAUCUGAGGUAGAUAUGGAUAUCAUCAUUGAAAUGAAGGUGUCUGUAUACUUCAGGCAAGUGUCCUGCUCAGCAAGCCAAGACAUCAGCAUCCUUUAUCCAACAAGUACAUUUCAUUUAAACAAACCCAAAAUAGGAGGCAUUCAGCUCCUUUCAUGUUACACAGAGGAGGCAGUUGCACCUGGACCCCCUCAUUCUUUUGACUGUCUGAAGCCAUGUGACCGUUCCAGGAACCAUCUCUCAGUUUCAAAGGACCUAUUCCUUUCCAAGUGAAGAAAAUCAGAAGAGAAAAUGGGAAUUAAUCAUAAUUGCUGCAGAAAUGAAAAGAUGAUGAUCAACAAACUUCAUUAAUGAGAAUAAUAAUGUUUUCCAUGGAUAAAAUAUGUACUUUCAGCGAUUUAGCUCACAAACAGAAAUCAGUUAGGAAAAGGUUCAGAUUCUGCCACCUUUGUACAACAUCCUUUACUAAAUGACAAUAUAGGAGCUUACUGCGCUAUUAAGCAGUCUAGUGGAGGCAGCCUGAUUCCAGUGUAGAAGUACCCCAGCUGGAAUUAAGACCUACUAUGCACACCCACUGUGUAGUUUGGUAAACUAACAAGAGAAAAUGUGGGAAAUGGUAGUUUAUAAAAAGAGUGCUUUUUUCUCUGAAGAAAUGGGCUCCCAAUUAUUUUCAGACUUGAUUUCAACAGGAAAUCCAGCACAUCGGAUUUAUCAGCAGGCAAGAAAAGAAGUGACCAUGGCUGUUGGCACAUGCAUGUUUGUGAAGAGCCUCUUCUCAAAGAGUUUUGGCUCACAGAGUUAAAAUAUCAGAUAGCUUUUAGAUCAGCCACAUCUUAAUUCAGUAAACAUUUAUCUUUGCUCCCACCACGUGAAUACAAGUUCAUGUUUUAGUUCUUGCCAAAUGUCAUUUAAUUAAAUUAAAAAAGAUCUUACCUAGUAAACUACAAAAUAUUAGCAGUAGCGAAACAUUUUCUUCUAUGGUUCAAUGUCCUCUACAUUUCACCAUUGUUUUCCCUUUAGUAUAAAGACUUCGACUGUGCAAUGUAAUCCCAUGGAACAUCAAAUAGGUGUAAAAUAUAUGCUACCACAGUGAUACAGUGCU